AUGGUAUUCAAGGGCUUUACUCAACAGCAUUCUACUCCAGUUGCGUGUGCAUUUUGCUCCUCUUUAAAGGGGCACUUGAAGAAUGCCCUACAGGAACUUGAUACAGUUUUUAGGUCAUGUGAAGUGACUAAGUUGGAAAAAGGUGCCAUUCCAUCACUUUUUAUUGUUGAAUUUCUGCUCUUCCUUGCGGCAUCGAAAGACAACCGCUGGAUGAACGCUCUACUCUCAGAAUUUGGAGAUGUCAGCACGGAUGUCCUGGAAGAUAUUGGAAGAGUUCACUGGGAAGUGCUUUGGCAAAUUUCACGUUUUGAUGACAAGAAAAUAGAGCCUGAAGCUAGUUCUCCUUAA
rnacentral:rRNA from 1 species